rnacentral:rRNA from 1 species
GACAGAGGAUGCAAGCGUUAUCCGGAAUGAUUGGGCGUAAAGCGUCUGUAGGUGGCUUUCAAGUCCGCCGUCAAAUCCCAGGGCUCAACCCUGGACAGGCGGUGGAAACUACCAAGCUGGAGUACGGUAGGGGCAGAGGGAAUUUCCGGUGGAGCGGUGAAAUGCAUUGAGAUCGGAAAGAACACCACGGCGAAAGCACUCUGCUGGCCGACACUGACACUGAGAGACGAAAGCUAGGGAGCGAAUGGG